GGCUAGGUGUCCUGCAGGCGCAACUUGGGCUUGCACUGUCUCAGUAAUCCUGCCUUGAAACUGAAGAAAGUCUUGCCUCAUUGAACAAGUGCCUCUGUCUCUGUUCUUGAAAGGUUGAUGUAUUGCUGAAUGUUUUAGAUAAACUACUGCACUGAGGAAAUCAGAGUCUGUAUUUCAAACACUGCUAAAAAUAGGUGACUUUUUCUGCUGUGAGACUUUGACUGCUAGCUUGUCAAGUUUUUAAGACAGGAAUAGCAGUUGCACAUUUCUUUAGAAACACAAAAACCUUGUUGAAGAUGUUGCUCUGGUUCCAGCUUCCGAGUGAUGAAGCAAAGUCUUCAGCUCUUCAGUGUACAAAUUUCAUAACCAAAUAGCCAUCACUGGCCACCCUCUGUUUUUAUUCAGCUCAUGGAUGUGAGAACUGUAGCAAAAAUGCAAAGCUGGCAUUCUGAGCAGUUUCUAAAGGCAAGAUAUUUUUUCUGCUGCCUGUUGCAGUGGCAUAUGGUCCUUGAAAAGGCACCUGCCAUGAGUCCAGGUGACCUUGGUUACUGCAGGAAAGCAGAUCAUGAAGUGGCAAGUCAGCAUGAUAAAAGAUUAUUGGGAGAUUAGCAUAAUAAAAACUGCAGGCUCUGUUGAGAAGGAUCAGAAUGGGUUUAGGAUGUUUAUAAUUUAGACUGCUAUACUUGUGUUUUUCUACAGCAUGGACACAUCUUACCCAAAGGGCUUUGUUAGGCACAUUGAUGCUGUUAUGAAGCAGGUUAAUAAUGCUGAAGGGUAGCAGCCAGCUAGCUAAGUCCUUAAGCAUUUUAGAUUAAAGUUCUUUAGCACCAAGUAUGUAAGAAAUUCUAGGGAGCAAUUUUAGUGUUUCUUUUUUUCCUGUAUUUUGAUUACUUUUAUUGCUUCCUUUUCUCCUUCAGCCUGCAGAGGGAAGAGCAAAUGAAGGUACCUGCAGUGCAGAGGUGGUGGUAGCAGUUUUGCUGCCAGAGGUGGAGCUGCCCUUCAAGUGGAUUUGGGGAUGGGUUGGACAUCUCUCUCUGGAUUAAGGGUGCACUAGGAGCAUGUGUUACAGAGAAGCUGUUUCCAAGAUCCCCUGAAGAUGUUUGCAAUGGUACAUGUGCCAACAGGAAUGCUCAUCCUCUCUUAGAGAACUAAUAAUGCUGCAGUGGCUGCAGCACAGACUUGUACAAAUCCAGCUUCCUCCCUUUUUCUUUUGCAAAUGUGACUGAGUUUCAUCUCUGGGGUUUCGUUCUUACUUCCUACAAUAAGGACCUGACUUUCCUUCUGCAGCACAGGCAUGUGUGAAUUUCUGUGGUUCCAGCCUGGUUGGUUUAUGUUUGCCAGAGUUGAUUAGACAGAGUAGUGAUUAAGCUCUCCAAAUAAUCCACCCCCAGUUAAUAAAAUAUUGCUGGAAUCCUGAAAGACCUGAGAAACAUUGGUUCUGGUUUUUUUUGGGGUUUUUUUUGGUUUUUUUUUUGGUUUUUUUUGGUUUUUUUUAGUAAUUUGUUUAGUCCUGGCCGCUAUAUUCAGGCAAAUGUCAGUGAUUCAGUGAUUGUGAAAAGCAAGCUUGAUCUGUGACUACAAGGUUGCUUGAGCUGGAGGGAGCUGUUAGGCUGGCAAGCGGACAGGAUAUCAUGUGAUCCUUGUAAUCAAAUGAACAGAUGCAGCCAGAGGAAAGCUACAGCUGUUCCUGCAGCUCACAAGCCAAAAGUUAAAAUAUACUGUUGUGCAAAAUAUCAGGGCCAAAUUCACUGGUCAGGGGGAAAAGCUACUCUUGGAAGAUUUAGGAACAGCAAAGCUGAAGUUAAUUGAAAUAGCUGUGUUUCUUAAAUCCAGAAUGUUGUGCUUUUGUAAGUAAAUUGAGGAGGGGAUUGUACAAACCAGCAGUCUAUUGUUUUGCAUCAGCAUGUCAGUUGGCUGCUGGUGAAGCAGCAAUAGAUAAAUUGCUUAGUGAUCAUGAGAAUAGUGCAUUGUUCUCAGUGUUUGACAGGCCAUCAAAAUGGCAUUUUAGUGUUUUAUAAACUCCCUUUUUCAUAAAUGGCUCUUGACUGUUCAGUUUUUUACCAGGCAGCCUUACAGCCCUAGGAAGGAGGAGAUGGAGCUUUAGAAUCAACUCCUUUCAGUAGCUGUCCUGUGCUACACCAAUCUAGUAUUUUCAAAACAUGUGAACAGGACAUUGUAGACCUCUUCACUGACUACCCGAGUGUCCUUAGGUAAUGCCUUGUUGUUGCUGACUUAACCACUUCCCAGCUGAAUCUUAGCCCAGGUACAAUAUUUGCUCUUGAAGAGGGAUUAAUUAUUGAAAUCCUGGAUGGAUGCAACUAGAGACGAGCUUUCAAAUCCCCUACAAAUUGUCUUCCUUGUUUGUGAAGAGGGCAGUAGUUCCCUCUGGUAGAUGCAAAGAAGCAUAGGACACAGCUGCCUCGGAAAAUUCAUCUUUCUUCAAUAAUUUAGAAGUUCCCAUCACUGUCCGUGGAAGCUCCUUUGCCGUUUCAAGCACAGCAAGGUAUUUAAUGUUAUUUACUGGAGUGUUUCUUUGAGUCUACAGCACGUCUAGUCAGCAACAAAUACUGGUCUGGGCUUGAAAAACCUACCUAAUUAAAAUAGAAAUGCUUACUUGUGAUAUGGUCUGUUUUGUCAGCAUUCCAAAAAGGCAAGUGUUUCCUUUUUCUAUGGUUUGUUAUCUGCAAAUAGGCCCUAGGAACUUUUUUACUCUUGAAGCAGUUUUAAAAUGGAAAAGCAAACUGAGAAAUAGAAUGGGAGCAAAUUACAAGGACAGUCAUACUCCAUCAGAGCUGGGGUCUGUCUAACACAGUGCUGUCAUUCACACAGCUCUGAUGGUGAGGAGUGUAAGUACAGGGUAUGUGUGGCAUCCUCCUUUCCUGAUGCUGCUACACUGCUUCAGAAUCUUACAGGUUGUUCCUGGAUCCUCAUCCAACAGCUGCCAAAAGCUUUUUUUCCUGUGAAUAUGUCCUGUGACUCAAUUCAUAUUGGUGAUUACCAGAGCCGCCUUGAAUCUUCUGUUAACUUGGGAAAUGCUUCACCUUAUUUUAAAUUUGCUGUCUGAUCAUUAACUGGAUGCUAUUUUAUGACUUAAAACAAAAUGAAAAGCUAAUCUCUCUGCUUUGUACCAUUUAGGUUUGCUGGACUUCUCUCUCUGGAUAUCUCUUGUUCCCUUGUGGUCUCCCUUUCUCUUUUCCCUUCUCUUUUGUCCACUGCUUCUCUUAUUUUUCCCCCAUUCUCUUCCCCCCCUUUUCUCUCCCUCCUUCUUUUUCUCCUCCUGAAGAAUUUUUAUUCCAUAUGUUGUAUUCCAUAUGUUUUCUAUCCCUCAGGUGCAAGCUGUUCCCUAUCUCUAAGUAUAAUUGUUGCCUUUCUGGGCAGGUGGCUGGACUGUUCUGUCCUUACAGUGCAUUCUGCUUUGAGCUCAGUGCUGCUCUGCCCAUAGUGGGUUGCACUGGGUUCUGGUUGAGGAAAAUGCAACAGGCCAAAUGAGCUCUUAUUUGGGGAUUGGUCUGACUCCUUAUCAACACAAACCACCUUUGUAGCUUUUAGACAGGGCCACCAUUUGGAUGUGUGAGGGGGUCUGAAACAGCACAGGAGUGCAGUGCUUUACCUACUGCUUUUAUCUCAUCCACCUAUUUUUCGCAGGCACCUGGCACAGGACAUUUUGGGACAGAAAAUCUUCAUUCACGCGCAGUCACAUCCCUGUCUUUGACCAUGAGCUGCCCUGAGUCUCAAAAGACUGGGAUUGGUGGGAAGAAUGCUGAUUCUCCUCAGAAACAAGUUGUCUUCAGAAAAAGCGCCCGUGACAAAGCUCUGACUAUCUACCUGGGAAAGCGGGACUUCAUUGACAACAUAGAGAAUGUGGAACCUGUAGAUGGCGUUGUAUUGGUGGAUCCUGCUAUUCUCAAGGGGAAAAAAGUGUUUGUGUCCCUCACCUGCGUGUUCCGCUACGGCCAGGAAGACAUUGAUGUGAUUGGCCUCACCUUCCGCCGGGACCUGUUCUUCUCCAGGGUCCAGGUGUACCCGCCUGUUGACAAGCCAGAGUCCCUCACCCUCUUGCAGGAAUCUCUGUUAAAGAAGCUGGGGAAAAAUGCUUAUCCCUUUUUUUUUACAUUUCCAGAUUACCUGCCUUGCUCAGUCUGUCUGCAGCCUGCACCUCGUGAUGUUGAUAAGACUUGUGGGGUGGACUUUGAGGUGAAAGCUUUCUCAACAGAAAAUGUGGAAGAGAAAAUUCAUAGGAGGAACUCUGCACGUCUGCUGAUCCGUAAGGUGCAGUUUGCUCCGGAGAAGCCAGGGCCCCAGCCUUGUGCAGAGACCACCUGGCAGUUCUUCAUGUCCAAUAAACCCCUGCACCUGAAAGCUUGGCUCAGUAAAGAGGUAUACUACCAUGGUGAGCCCAUUCCAGUCACUGUCACCAUCAACAACAACACAGAGAAAACAGUGAAGAAGAUCAAAGUCCAGGUGGAGCAGGUGGCCAAUGUGGUGCUGUACUCCAGUGACUUCUACACCAAAGUGGUGGCUACUGAGGAAGCACAGGAAAAGGUGCAGCCAAACAGUAGCCUGACCAAGACACUGACACUUCUGCCCUUGCUUGCGAAUAACCGGGAGACACGGGAGAUAGCUCUGGAUGGAAGACUGAAGGAUGAGGACACCAACUUGGCUUCUAGUACUAUCAUUAAGGAUGGAAUAGACAAGACAGUGAUGGGGAUUCUGGUUUCCUACAAGAUCAAAGUGAAGCUCACUGUUCCAGGCAUGCUGGGAGACCUCACUUCCAGUGAAGUGGGCACAGAGCUGCCAUUUCGUCUCAUGCACCCCAAACCUGAGGAAAAGAACCCAACAGGGCCGAGCUGGGGCAAGUGUGAGCAAGUGCUGUGUGCUCUGUUUCAUAGCAGGUGGCUUUGCCCUCUCUAGCUGUCUGUGAGCAAGCUCUGAAGCAUUCAUCACUCAGUAAACAGCAGGUCUGUCACAGUGCAGGGCUAUUGCAGAUUGCUUGAUCUUUCUUCCCUGUGCCUGCAGGAGACAGAAAAGAAGCAGCUUGCUAUCUUUCCUCCCCUGUGUUCAUCGCUUCCUUCUCUUGGUCUUCUGCAAGGCCAGGAUUUGCAUGUUUCAUGUGUGCUGGUUCUGUGACUGUUUCUGGACCCAUAUGGCUCACAUGUGGUUAUUUUUAGGCAAAGCAGCUCCUGUCACAUUGGCAGUCUGACUGUUCCGCCUGUUGAAAAAAAAUGCGUUGAGAACUUUUAAAGAUAGAUUCAAAUGGGGCUGUGUCUCUUCAUGCUCCCAAGACCUUUCCUGGUUAGCAGUUAGCCCAGAAGUUCCUGCUGACUUUUCCUCAAGGCUGUGGUCUCAGCAUGAGUUCUUUGGUCUGGGGUUUUCCUGCCAAUCUUCUGAUGUGUUACGUUUUGUGGGCCUAUAUCUUGGACACUGGCCUUUGUUUUGGCUGUUGUUCAACAAAUGGCCAUUUAUCUGCUCCCUGAUUAAACUUGCAUAAAAGGACUGUUUUGAAGAAAUGCAGGAAUGCUUUGUCCCUUUAACAGUAAAGCACUACUUUCCCUGUUUUGGUAUUAUGACUUUCAGAAAUUAGGAAAUUUUAAAGCAUUGAAUGUCUUGGAAAAUAACAAGUUAUUUCUUAUUUCUUUUCUCCCCCAUCAAGUUAAGAGAGGUUAAAAGCAAGUUUAUACUGAAAAUUACCGCAUGCUAUGACUUGAAUUAUGUGGAAUAAUUUCUGUGGCUGCAUAAUAAAAGCUUCUAGGAAACCUUUCCCUGAGAGGAUGAUGGUAUUCUGGACCCUCAUCAAUCCCCCUCCCAUUCCAAACCUCAAAACUAUUGCUUGAAUGCUAAUUAAAAGAAGCAAAAGUCUACCCAUUUUCUGAGAUUUUUUUAAUAUUAUAAUAUUAAAUAAGCCACAGGACAGCCAGAAAACUCUGGAGUAGACCUAACUUCUCCUAGUGUGCAACUGCAGCAUGUUGGAGUUACUGCUGCAGCCUGAAGGUGAAGUGGUGCGUGUUUGAAUGUAAUCUUCCAUCUGAGGUACAUUAUAAGCACUACUCUCCUGCCACACUGUGUAUUGACUCAGUAAUCAUUUCUCUGACAGUUAAGUAUAUACCAAAUUGAAACAAUACCUACUUCCCCCCUCACUCCGUUUUGUAAAAACAGUUUCAAAUCACUGGUGGGGAUCUUGCUUAGCUUCACCCACAUCACUGAUAUCACUGUUCCCAUAGUAAGGAAGGUAGCUCCAAGAUGGAAAAGAGAGCAAACUGAAGAAUAAAAAUUGAAGAAAAAAUUGAAUGAGAAUGAUGUUUUAUGUGUUGGAAAUUUUAGAAGUUCUAAAUGUUUCAUUUUAAAUUCAUGUCAAUCAAGCAUACAUGCCCUCAGACUUUCCAGACUUCAUCUUGGCUUCUGUCCUGGUCUGGAGAGAUGCCAUCAGGAGUGUCUUUACAUGAGCCAUCCUUUGAGACAUUUUGGCUGGAGUGGCCCCCUUUGGCACACUUUUAAUACUGACUUUUUCAGCAGUGUGUGUUUUGGAUGGGAAAUCUCCAGGUAGUGAGUUAUCUAGUCACUGCAGUGCCCCAGAUCCCUGCUGACUUCUGUAGAACAAGGAUGCUUUGCUCCCUGACCCAAAGCCAUGAGAAGUAAGCCAGUAAAGUCACUAUGCCUUCCUAAAAUAACUGUGAGAACAAUAAAAUCCCUGCAAAUAGUCUUCUGCUUAUUUUAGGCUGUGCUGAAACAGCUUUCAAGGAAUCCUGCUAGUAAGCAGGAUUUCUUACAGUGUGGUUACCAAAGAUCCCACUAAAGAAACACAAAUGCCAAAUGUCUUAAAACCAUUUUUAGGGCAAAAUGAAAUCAGGAGUGUUGCCCCAAAAGCCUUAACCCAUCUGAAUGAGAGAUCCCCGAGGUGUUCCUGUACUUUGACCUCUAAUUUUAAUACCUUCACGUUUAUUGAACAAGAGCAUUGUCUUCUCAUCUAAGUCUAAGCUGACUUCUUCAAUCACAGUGAUAGAGCAAUUAAACCUGACAUCAUGUCAUGCAAGCACUGUCAGCUUAGAGCCCAGUGUGUGCACAGAUCUCUCCCACAGUUGUGACCACAAGCAAACAUAGGUGGGGAAAAUCUGUCUCAGUUCUGAAGGGUUGAGGCCCUUCAGAUAGCUUGGGCAUCAUUGCUGGAAUGCUUUUCCAUUUGGGAGAUUGAGAUUUGCCUCAUCAGGUGUAGUUAUGCACAUUUUGAGACUUUCUGGAAUUCUACUUGUACUGCUGCAAAUGCUGCUUGUCACUGCUCUGCUCUAUACAUUUUUUGCAAAUGUUUUAGCAUCUGCUGCUCUGACUACCUGGUGUGUCUUUUUUCCUCCUUUGCUGCAUGCUCAUGACUGCAGGGAAGGAUGGUGAAGCAGAACUGGUAUUUGAGGAGUUUGCUCGUCAGCAGCUAAGAAAUACACCUGAUGAAGAGGACAAGCAUUCACCCUCAACUGAUGAGUGAUUAAAAGAACAGCCUGACAGAGGAGCUGUGUUGUCUGGCUUCAGUUACAAAUGUAGAACCUAAGUUUCUAGUAAUCUGCAUGUUCUCAGUCCAUGCAUGGUCUUCCAGGGAUGACAUCAGGAAUCUCUAUUGCUUAUUACAAGAUUCACCUUGAAUGGGCAAACACAACAGCUGGUUCUUACCCAAGCUACCAGAGAACAACAGGACACCUGCCAUAACAUGACUUCUGCUUUCAGGGCUGCCUAAUAAAAAGGUUGGUUGCUUUCCACACUGGUGAGAGCUUAAAUGAGUUUAUGCAGCCUGCCUGGACUUAUUCAGUGUCAAAGUCUGUGACUUUGAAGUGCAAGUGAACGAAAUCCUAGCCUGGAAGGCUGGCUUGCAGCCAUGGGCGAUUCAUCAGAGUUUCUCAGAAGACUGUACAAAACUGAUUUUACUUCCUUUUGGUUGUUUUUGCAUUGAUGCUUUACCAAAUUCAACCAGUGAAUUUUUUCAGUGCUUGCACUGUCCCCAUGUGGCUUCUACACUCACUUUCUGUACCAGUAAAUGUAUCACAGGUUGUCUCCCACAGCACAGACAAUGCUUAUACACAGUAUUAGCUUUCUAGCAAUAUGCUUGAAACCAUGUUAUUAAAGAUGAGAUAAAUGUGCACUGUCAAUGAAUUGCUUAAAGUUCCCUAUAUACAAUGCCAAACAGAAAUACAAGUCCAGACAGAGUCUGUAUUUAAUCUAGUUUCCUGUAGGCAACAGCUACAAAAGAGGGUGCAGGAAAAUUAAGGAGGAAAUUAUGGCACAGCCUUCCCUGAGGAGCUUUUCCCAACAUCCAUCUGCCAACAGCUGGUUUAUGCUCUAAGAAAUGAGAUUGCAUUCUGCAAACUUUGUUUUCUCUUGUUGAUCUGGAUAUUCUCAUUAUCCAUGUAAAUGUCGGCUAUUUUCCUGAAUCUCAUGUAGGUUUCUGCUGAAGUGAGUUGCAUCAGCUAAUUACAUUUUGCAUGUAAAA